GGGGGGGGGGGGGGGGGGGGGGGGGGGGGGGGGGGGGGGGGGGGGGGGGGGGGGGGGGGGGGGGGGGGGCCCAUCCUCUUCAUCCCGUGCCCAUCCUCUUCAUCCCGUGCUCAUCCUGUGAAUCCCGUGCCAUCCCGUGCAUCCUCUACCCAUCCUGUGCAUCCCGUGCCCAUCCUGUGCAUCCCAUGCUCAUUCUCUUCUUCCCGUGCAUCCCAUGCUCAUCUUCUGCAUCCCCUGCUCAUUCUCUGCAUCCCGUGCCCAUCCCGUGCAUCCCGUGCCCAUCGUGCAUCCCGUGCUCAUCCUGUGAAUCCCAUGCUCAUUCUCUUCAUCCCGUGCAUCCCAUGCUCAUCUUCUGCAUCCGCCAAUGCAGAUCCCUGUGAGUGGCUGGGGUUUAUUUUUUUUAUUGAUUUUUUUCCUCUCCCUUUUCUCUUAUUCUUUUUCUCACCCUCCUUCAAAUGGCUGCCUGGCUGAAGGAGCUUUGUGCUUCACAUCUCCCGUGAUUGUUUUCCCUAUCCAGCCUGUCCCAAAGGCUGGAAUUCUGGAAAUGGGAUCCCGUGCUCAUCCUGUACAUCCCGUUCUCAUCCUGGGCAUCCCAUGCCCAUCUUGUACAUCCCAUGCUCAUCAUCCCGUGCCCAUCCUCUUCAUCCCGUGCCCAUCCUGUGCAUCCCGUGCUCAUCCUGUGAAUCCCAUGCUCAUUCUCUUCAUCCCGUGCAUCCCAUGCUCAUCUUCUGCAUCCCCUGCUCAUUCUCUGCAUCCCGUGCCCAUCCCGUGCCCAUCCCAUGCUCAUCCUCUUCAUUCCAUGUCCAUCCUGUGCACCCCAUGCUCAUCUUCUGCAUCCCGUGCCCAUCCUGUACAUCCCCUGCCCAUUCUCUGCAUCCCCUGCCCAUUCUCUGCAUCCCCUGCUCAUUCUCUGCAUCCCCUGCCCACCCUGCUCAUUCUCUGCAUCCCGUGCCCAUCCCGUGCAUCCCGUGCCCAUCCCAUGCUCAUCCUCUUCAUUCCAUGUCCAUCCUGUGCACCCCAUGCUCAUCUUCUGCAUCCCGUGCUCAUCCUGUACAUCCCCUGCCCAUUCUCUGCAUCCCCUGCCCAUUCUCUGCAUCCCCUGCUCAUUCUCUGCAUCCCCUGCCCAUCCUGUACAUCCCCUGUCCAUCCUGUACAUCCCCUGCUCAUUCUCUGCAUCCCCUGCCCGUUCUCUGCAUCCCCUGCCCAUCCUGUACAUCCCCUGCCCAUUCUCUGCAUCCCCUGCCCAUUCUCUGCAUCCCCUGCUCAUUCUCUGCAUCCCCUGCCCAUCCUGUACAUCCCCUGCCCAUUCUCUGCAUCCCCUGCCCAUUCUCUGCAUCCCCUGCCCAUUCUCUGCAUCCCCUGCCCAUUCUCUGCAUCCCCUGCCCAUUCUCUGCAUCCCCUGCCCAUUCUCUGCAUCCCCUGCCCAUUCUCUGCAUCCCCUGCCCAUUCUCUGCAUCCCCUGCCCAUUCUCUGCAUCCCCUGCCCAUUCUCUGCAUCCCCUGCCCAUUCUCUGCAUCCCCUGCCCAUUCUCUGCAUCCCCUGCCCACCCUGUACAUCCCCUGCCCAUUCUCUGCAUCCCCUGCUCAUUCUCUGCAUCCCCUGCCCAUUCUCUGCAUCCCCUGCCCAUCCUGUACAUCCCCUGCCCAUUCUCUGCAUCCCCUGCCCAUCCUGUACAUCCCCUGCCCAUUCUCUGCAUCCCCUGCCCAUCCUGUACAUCCCCUGCCCAUUCUCUGCAUCCCCUGCCCAUCCUGUACAUCCCCUGCCCAUUCUCUGCAUCCCCUGCCCAUCCUGUACAUCCCCUGCCCAUUCUCUGCAUCCCCUGCCCAUCCUGUACAUCCCCUGCCCAUUCUCUGCAUCCCCUGCCCAUCCUGUACAUCCCCUGCCCAUUCUCUGCAUCCCCUGCCCAUCCUGUACAUCCCCUGCCCAUUCUCUGCAUCCCCUGCCCAUCCUGUACAUCCCCUGCCCAUUCUCUGCAUCCCCUGCCCAUCCUGUACAUCCCCUGCCCAUUCUCUGCAUCCCCUGCCCAUCCUGUACAUCCCCUGCCCAUUCUCUGCAUCCCCUGCCCAUCCUGUACAUCCCCUGCCCAUUCUCUGCAUCCCCUGCCCAUCCUGUACAUCCCCUGCCCAUUCUCUGCAUCCCCUGCCCAUCCUCUCCAUCCCAGCCUCCCCUCCCUGGCUGCAGAGCUGUGCUGCAGAGCUGAGCCCUGCAGAGC
rnacentral:lncRNA from 12 species